AUUGAACGCUGGCGGCAUGCUUUACACAUGCAAGUCGAACGGCAGCGCGGGCUUCGGCCUGGCGGCGAGUGGCGAACGGGUGAGUAAUAUAUCGGAACGUACCCAAGAGUGGGGGAUAACGUAGCGAAAGUUACGCUAAUACCGCAUACGAUCUAAGGAUGAAAGCAGGGGAUCGCAAGACCUUGUGCUCCUGGAGCGGCCGAUAUCUGAUUAGCUAGUUGGUGAGGUAAAGGCUCACCAAGGCAACGAUCAGUAGCUGGUCUGAGAGGACGACCAGCCACACUGGAACUGAGACACGGUCCAGACUCCUACGGGAGGCAGCAGUGGGAAUUUUGGGCAAUGGGCGAAAGCCUGACCCAGCAACGCCGCGUGGGUGACGAAGGCCUUCGGGUCGU
rnacentral:rRNA from 1 species